GGCCUGCUAGCUCAGUCGGUUAGGGCGUCGUGCUAAUAACGCGAAGGUUGUAGGUUCGAUCCCUGCGCAGGCCA
rnacentral:tRNA from 1 species